rnacentral:lncRNA from 1 species
CAAAAACCUAACUAAAAGCAUUACUAAGUAAUGUACACUUUACACUCACCUGUAGUUCUUGUACAGCUCUGCAGUUCAAGCUUCCUACUGAACUCACAGUUUUAUGAUUAUUUCAAGCCUUAAUAUAUUAAUAUGGGAGUUUGGCUAAGGCUGCCAUUAGACGAUACCUAACCUGUGAUGCCUGCUUUUAGAACAUGUGCUGCUGAUAGGAAGUAGGAGAGCUGCCUGUCAGAGGCCAGGCCAUGCAUGCUUCCACUCCACAAACAGUUCUGUACCUGCAGAGUCCAUUUCUGCAUCAUUGUUAUACCAAUAUAAGCUUCUUAUGCCAAGAGUUGAGCAUGGCAUAAUUUAAUUAGACAUCCACAGAUUUGUGUUUCCUGUAAGGUAAAUAGUGAACCAACCCUGAAAGGACUGCCAUUCUACUGAGUCACAUACAUUCUCACCUCCGCGGUGGACCAAAUCUUGUGCAGAAACUGUUGUAAGCAAACAGUAAGUAUCAAAGACAAGAUGGAAGAAUAUGGAGACAGGUGCAUUUGACAAGGAAAAAUUCCUUACUGUAGCUGCAGUUUUGGGUCUUUUUGAAGGAGUAGUGCUUAUGUGUGAGCACACCAAGCUGAGCCUUCUCCGGAACAACCAGCUCCAGCCAGCUCCUGGUUUCUCCAAGGACUGCUCCAUCCCAUUACAUAGCUCCCCGUUGCCUUUUCCAGCAAGCAACAAUAUUACAGGGAAUGGUUGA